rnacentral:rRNA from 1 species
AUGUCAAGAGACUCUUCUGAGAGAAAUGUGUCUGGAAUUGAUCAUAUCAAGCACUAUAAAAACAUUAUCUCUGAGUUGUUACUCGGAAAAGAAGGCACAUUCUCUACUGGAGUUGCAAAACAAACUGAAGUUGUUAUGGCCCAAUAUAACCGCAAAGCGGGUGAAGAUUCUCUUCCAUUAUUCAUGGAAGAAAUUAGGGGCCUAUCAAAAUGUGCCAUGGAGAGAUUAAAGCAUGCUCUCCAUAAGGUUUUUACAAUCCUCAAUGAUGAAGUUGAUGAGAUAUUUGGUUACAUUUUCGCACUAUCUGAAUUUAGGUCUGAGAAGUUGCCGUCAAACCAUGGAAGCGGAUCGUAUGAGGACAGUAUCGCCCCACCAAGUGUUAAAAAACAGAAAACUGUGACAGUUUCUACAAUCGAUGCUUAUGAAGAAUCGCAUGGUCAUAUUGAUUCAGAUAUCUUUGCACAGCUCACAAGAGAUAUCCGGCUGAUAGAAGAAAGUGGCAAAACACGUCAAGAGGCUGCAAAGAUGUUCUCUGAUGGGUUGCUGCGGAAGCUUGCUGAAAUGGAGCAAGGUGUUUAUGAUUUACUGGACACAGUGGCAUCCAAGUGCAGAUCUAUGACCACUCCUGAGAAGAUUGAACUUGGUAGGCGCGUCCGCAAACUCCCAGAGACGGCACUUGAUCACAUGGUGGAGGUAGUUAAAAUGAGGAGACCUGCAAUCUCGGUUUCUGAUAAAGUAUCAUUCAACUUAGGAAGACUGGUACUCAACCUAUCUGUUCCUACUACUUAA